CUAUAAUUCAAUUCCUCUCACCUUGCAAUGCUUUCUCCGCUCUCUGCUGAGCCCCCCCCCCCAGCUUGUCACUGUCUUUCUCACCAUCAGCUUCCCAGAGCACAGACUGGGCUGGACACUGAGGGUCUGCCAGCCUCUCCCAGCUGUGCCUUGGCCCCUUGGCCAAGAUCACACACAGAGCCUGGCUUUUCUCUGCUCUGUGCCUGCAAGGUCUCUCUGAAGGAAAUCACCCCUCAACAACACAAUCGCCUUUUCUGCCACCUCAUCAUCUGGCACAUUCUUAGCCAGGAUGAAACAUCCAUAAAUCUCUUCUUUCUAUCAAGAUUUCUCCCCAGCUCCCUUUCUAAGAUUGUGAGAUGGUUUAUAAAUGCA
rnacentral:lncRNA from 12 species